GACAGAGGGUGCAAACGUUGUCCGGAAUUAUUGGGCGUAAAGAGCUCGUAGGCGGCUUGUCACGUCGGGUGUGAAAGCCCGGGGCUUAACCCCGGGUCUGCAUUCGAUACGGGCUAGCUAGAGUGUGGUAGGGGAGAUCGGAAUUCCUGGUGUAGCGGUGAAAUGCGCAGAUAUCAGGAGGAACACCGGUGGCGAAGGCGGAUCUCUGGGCCAUUACUGACGCUGAGGAGCGAAAGCGUGGGGAGCGAACAGG
rnacentral:rRNA from 1 species